rnacentral:rRNA from 1 species
AUGGCCGCCGCCGCCUCGAUCUGCCUCGUCCGGGCAUCUCCGGCGACACGGUGGACACCUACAGAUUCUCCUCGUCUCCCUCUACCAUUUCCCCCUAUUUAUUUUAUCCGCCGCCGCCAAAAACGUCGCCACCACUCAAUCCUAGCGCCGCCUGAUUCAGGUCCGGUGGGCUUGCCACCGGCUGCAGCGGCAACGACGUCUCCAUGCCUACAUCCUCCCCCAGCGCAGCCACACGCACGAGGCGUGCAGCCACGGGCGUCGGGCGUGUGCGGCUUCACCGGCGCUGCUCGGUCGCAUGGCUCUGCUGCUAACGGUGUGGACUAG